rnacentral:rRNA from 1 species
UACGUAGGGUCCGAGCGUUGUCCGGAAUUAUUGGGCGUAAAGAGCUCGUAGGCGGUUUGUCGCGUCUGCUGUGAAAUCCCGAGGCUCAACCUCGGGCCUGCAGUGGGUACGGGCAGACUUGAGUGCGGUAGGGGAGAAUGGAAUUCCUGGUGUAGCGGUGGAAUUCGUAGAUAUUAGGAAGAACACCAGUGGCGAAGGCGGCUCACUGGCCCGGUACUGACGCUGAGGCGCGAAAGCGUGGGGAGCAAACAGG